AGAUAUCGAUGAAGAUUGACAUCCAUACAUUCACUAGGCCUACGACGAAGUUCAAUAAAACUGUAGUAGAAAUUGUGCUGAAGGAAGAAAAGGAGGUCGUGACAAUGGACGUAGAGGAAGAAUCAAAUAUCAGUGUGGGAGUGGACACUGCUCCCGUAACUUCGGGAUCGGGGACACUUGAUGAAGAACCAAUGUCUUGGUCUUCUGUGGACUGAUGGAGGGAGACAAGGUUCUCUUGUAUUUUCAGAGGAUCAUCGCAGAUUUAUUUGGGAGAGGGGGUUGUACAUGUUGUAGGGUGGGUUAGACAAUGGAUCUGAUGAAAGGAGACGUUGUUCUCUGGGAUUACCAGAAUUGAUCGUGAUCACACUCUUUAAUUUGGAAAUGGGGUGGGGAAGGGUGGAUUGUAAAACAAUGGAUCUGAUGAAGGGAGACAACACUGUAAAAACGCUGUUCAAAAUUUUGAGCACGUUGUUUAAGUCCGUCACUAACAACUACCGUUUAAACAUUUUAAACAACUGUUUAAAA